rnacentral:rRNA from 1 species
AGAUUGAACGCUGGCGGCAGGCCUAACACAUGCAAGUCGAGCGGUAGAGAGGUGCUUGCAUCUCUUGAGAGCGGCGGACGGGUGAGUAAUGCCUAGGAAUCUGCCUAGUGGUGGGGGAUAACGUUCGGAAACGGACGCCAAUACCGCAUACGUCCUACGGGAGAAAGCGGGGGACCUUCGGGCCUCGCGCCAUUAGAUGAGCCUAGGUCGGAUUAGCUAGUAGGUGAGGUAAUGGCUCACCAAGGCGACGAUCCGUAACUGGUCUGAGAGGAUGAUCAGUCACACUGGAACUGAGACACGGUCCAGACUCCUACGGGAGGCAGCAGUGGGGAAUAUUGGACAAUAGGGCGAAAAGCCUGAUCCAAGCCAUGCCGCGUGUGUGAAAGAAGGCUUUCGGAAUUGUAAAAGCAACUUUAAGUUGGUAACGGAAAGGGUUAGUUAAACCUAAUAACGUU